rnacentral:lncRNA from 1 species
AUGUUUGAAUCAAUUUAUUUGAUUUUUGAUGAUCAUUAUAUUUUUUGGCAUUAUUCUGUGGUGUUGUUUUCAGUUUUGGUUGUCAUGCUAAUUAUUAUUUCUCUUUUAUUUAGGUCAGGAAGGAUCCCUAAGCUCUCUCAGCAUGUAAUACAGGCAGCGGAAGAUGAGGAAGAGCUCUCUGAUCUUCCUGUGUCUUUCAAAGUUCGUGGUGAGGACAUUAAGGCACCUGGCCGGAGAGCUAAAUUAAAACCAGGUCCCAGAUUGAAACAGGGCAUGCCUAGGAGGGGGAAAUCUAGACUGGUGACCUUACUGGCCUCUGGAACUGAGGAGGAAGAAGAGGAAGUAGAAGAAUCUGUCCUGAGCCGGGAAGACUUUCCUUCAAAUCCUGAAGAGGAAAACCAGGCGUUUGUGCCAAUGAGUCUACGUCCUCAAGCGCCUGUUAAUUCAGAGGUGGUAGAAACCAUGGAAGAGCUGGACAUUUCUGUGAAUGUGCCUGAUAUCCUGGGCACAUCCCAGAAUGCUUUGUACCCUGAGUUGUCAUGUGAUCAGGACACGGUGCCUGCUGGUCCUGUCCCUUGUGAACACCAGCUGGACCUGCUUGUUGAUGUCAUGGAGUUUCUUGACCCAGACCACAUGGAGGUAUGUAAUGAGAUCAACAAUGAAGCGGCCCAGACACUUCUCACCAUUGGGAACUCAGCUCAGAUGAUCCACACAUCAGAAAUGCCCUGUACAAGUGGAAAUGAUAUUGUUGUCCAUGAGGAAGAUAUGACAGAAACAGUUGUCUUGUCUGGUUCUUCUGUAAAUUGCGAGUCACAGACCAAAGGUGAUGUUGAAUUUCCGAGCUGUGAAACUCCUAUUCCAGAACCUUCUUCUGAAGAAACCUCCACCCAGAAUGAAGAACCAAUCAAAUCGCAGACAACUGAUGCUCAUCCUGCUCCCAUUCAACAUGAGACACAGUUUCCACCAAGCAAAAGAGGUCGGUUCUCCAAACCCAAACCCAAUAUUGGUCAAGGUUUGAGAACCAGACGUGCGCCACAGCAGCAAAUCUCUCCAGAACUUGUCACAGGUUCUUUGGGGACCUCUAAGGGUCCGUCUUCCACAGAACAGGAUAAAAGUGCAAUGCAAGAAGACUGUUUUCCUGUGAAUCACCUGCCAGACUCCUUUACCAUCCGCCCUGAGGGACUACAGCUGGAUACAUCAUCUGAAACAAGAGAAGACAGUCCCAAAGUCAUUCUUGAAAGAGUGACUAAAGAAGAUAAUGGAUCUGUUUCAUCUUUGAAGAGAAAGAAUGAUGAUAUAAUCACAGAAGAAAAUAUAAACGAACAAGAAGGGGCAAGAUCAGAACCACAGCUGACUAAAAGUGUGAACGAGUCUCAGAGCACAUCACUUGAGUCCUCUAAACCUGUCAGGAGGUACCGCGGACUCAGACCUCAACCAAACCUGACUCAGACAUCCAGACGCGGCAGCAUGACAUCAACCACAGCAGUAUUAAAUGAGAAGCCAUCUGCUGCUCAGCCUUCCAUGAACACUUUCACUAAAUGUCCUGAAGAGGGUGCUGUAUUUUCCACAGAACUUGAUGCAUCCAAAAGUGCAGCUCAACAACAAGGAGCAUCGAGCAUUGAAUCAGUAGAGACGGUCAAAGAUGUCACCCUGCCAGUUGUUUCUGAAAACGAGUCCAGACAGAAAACUGUGGUCAUGCUGGACGAGAACAAUAGAACUAAUCCUGCGGAAGUCAGCAAAGGCAGCAUUGUGGAACAUCCUGGAUGUGAAUCAGAAGACACAUCUGCUGAGUCCACGCCUGGGGAACCUGUGUUUGUACUCUCUCUCAUAGAAAUCCCGCCUACUUUAGAUGAGGGGGCGGGGUUUCGGACAGAGCUCCUCCCACCUGAGGCAGUGUCUGAGUCACAUUCUCAUGGUCAAAGGUACCUUAUUUUAAAACUGUUAUCUGAUGCCAUAAACACUUGGAGAGAGCUAAAUAAACAUUAGGAGGAUGUUGAGAAUCCUGGUUGAGAAUUUGUUAGCCAAAUGAAUGUGGAUUUAAGUCUUAUUUGCAAAUGUUUCCAUGUUCUACCUAUUGUGCUUUUAUUAUUUUUUCCCUAUUUCUUUCUUAUUUUCUAGUGCUAGUGAGAGUAGGGAGGUAUCUCAAUCUAGGAAAGGAGAAUUGAAACGCAAGACACCAGCCUCCACCUCUCAGGGGGUAAAGCAUGCAUCUUGACUUUUUUAAAACUAUAAAUGCUUGAUAAAUGCUGAUUAAAACUGAGGCAAUUUCCUUCCUAGAAUACCAAAGGUGAGAGUCAGGCAGAACAUCAUGGUAAGAACAUUUCCAGCCCAUCUUUAUACUCUAAAAAUGAGCAUAUAUGGUACUAGAUUUAACAUCUGUUAAUGCAUUGCAUUGCCCUAUAACCCAGUUUCUUUAUGUGUUAGUGGAAGGAUUGGAAAGCUUUGUGGCAGAGGGGACUGAUGAUGAGAAGGAACAUCUGGAAAAGAAAAGAAAAAUUCCUGAGAGAACCAGGAGAGGUAAGGGAGCUUUCAAAAGUUUGUUAUCUGGAAGAUUUUUUCAUGUUUUUGAAAGAAGUCUCAUUAUGCUUACCAAGGUUGCAUUUAUUUGAUUAAAAAAAUACAGUAAAAAACAAAAUAUUAUUAUCAUUUAAAAUAAAUGUUUUCUAUUUGAAAUUAUUUUAAAACGUAAUUUAUUCCUGUGAUGCAAAGCUGAGUUUCCAGCAUCUUUACUCCAGUCUUUAUUGUUCUUCAGAAAUCAUUCUAAUAUGCUGAUUUGCUGCUCAAGAAACAUUUCUGAUUAUUAUCGAUGCUGAAAACAGUUGUCCAGUUGUGUGUGGAAACCAUCAUGCAUUUUCUUUCAGGAUUCUUUGAUGAAUUGGAGUUAAGAAAAACAUUUUUUUAAUAAGAGAAUUUUUUGUAACUUAAAGCAUGUCUUUAAUUUAAUGCACUUUCUUCUGUUUAGCAAAGCUGCAAGUUAAACCCAUCCCAGUUUCGCGGAGAAACGCUCGAGGUGGUGAUGCUAAAGAGGACACAGCAGCUCUCUCUUUUAAACAGACUACCUCAUUACCUGUUUCAACACAAGAGACGAGAUCAGUGCCAGAGCAAACUGUACCUGCUGUCAUUUCAUCAACGGAUGACUCAAUAUCAACCACCAUCUCUGACAGAGAAGCAACUACAGACCUUUCUGAGACUAGUGAUAAUACUCGAUCACCUGUCUCUGAAGAUUCUGUCCAGGAGGGUUCUUCCCAAGGCAUCAUGGGAAAAGUGGACCUCUCAGGCAAAGAGACCGUUGAGUUGGCUAGUAGAUCAGACUCACAAAGUGUCAGUCAAAUCACGCCUAUUACCACAAGUGGGCCGCUUAACAAGGUGGGUGGCUCUACAUUUUGUUAGUUUUUAAAGCAAAAUGGCUUUGAUAUUGCGUAGACCAGGCAGAAGACCCAAAGGGUCCUGUCCUUCAUUCAUCAAAGAGUACACAAGGACCCCCAGCAGCCCAUCGAGGGCCAACCAGGCCCCCAAAAACCAGCAGUCAACACCGCACGUCCUGAGAGAAAACGGACAGCAGUCGGGCCUGUUACCACUGCAACCAGCCCUGUAGUAAAGCGACCCCCACCGACCCCUGCAUCUGUCAUUGAGGUAUCAUAUGUUCAGAUAUUUCAGUGCUUUUAUGGUCACUUUGCAUAUUUGUAUUAGUAAACCCAGAUUUGAUUUUUCUCUAUCUAUUCAGCAGAACUUAGAUGAAGAACCCACAAGUGUCUCCAAGUACUUCUUCAGUGACAUCUUUACUGAAGUUGAUGAACUAGAAGACAUGGAUUAAGGCCAAAGCAGUCACAACUAACUAAACAAUCAGGAAUAUAGUUUGACAUAAGUCCGGUGUAUGACGUGUGAAUAUUUGAAGUUUUCCCAGGACACUUUUACCAAGAGGAGCCGCAACUGAAGAUGCAGCGAAAACAUACCUCAAACAUACCUCAGUAACAGCUGACAUAAUGUCUUUUAUGUUAUUAUAAUUUUAUUUAAGGAUAAAUAAGUAUUAAUUCAGUUAUGUUUUUGUUACUGUUGCACUCUUUUGUUAUUUAAAGGUGUAUUAUAAUUCAUGCCUGAUCUGAGCUUAACUUAAUUUUUUUAUUAAUUUUUUGGUCUCGACUUGCAUUUUAUUUCCAGUUAUGAGUAAGCAACACGUUCAUUUCUCUCACAGUAAUUUCUCUUACAUCAUUUGCUAAUAUAUAUUUAUUUAAAUAAAAAAAUGACAUUUUGUAUGUUUUUUUUUAUUUUUUGAAAGUGACUUUUCUUUCUUUAUAAUUUUUUUAAGAGCAGCUUUGAACAAACCUCCAUUAUAAAUAGCACUGUCCUGUUUCAGCUCCAUGCUGUCUGUGUUGUAUUUUAGCAUU